UACAGAGGGUGCGAGCGUUGUUCGGAAUUAUUGGGCGUAAAGGGCAGGUAGGUGGUUCGGUAAGUCUGUUGUGUAAGCUCCCGGCUUAACUGGGAGAGGUCAACAGAAACUACCGGACUUGAGUAUAGGAGAGGGUACUGGAAUUCCCGGUGUAGCGGUGAAAUGCGCAGAGAUCGGGAGGAACACCAAUGGCGAAAGCAGGUACCUGGACUAUUACUGACACUAAGCUGCGAAAGCUAGGGGAGCAAACAGG
rnacentral:rRNA from 1 species